rnacentral:rRNA from 1 species
GAUGAACGCUGGCGGCGUGCCUAAUACAUGCAAGUCGAGCGAACUGAUUAGAAGCUUGCUUCUAUGACGUUAGCGGCGGACGGGUGAGUAACACGUGGGCAACCUGCCUGUAAGACUGGGAUAACUUCGGGAAACCGAAGCUAAUACCGGAUAGGAUCUUCUCCUUCAUGGGAGAUGAUUGAAAGAUGGUUUCGGCUAUCACUUACAGAUGGGCCCGCGGUGCAUUAGUUAGUUGGUGAGGUAACGGCUCACCAAGGCAACGAUGCAUAGCCGACCUGAGAGGGUGACCGGCCACACUGGGACUGAGACACGGCCCAGACUCCUACGGGAGGCAGCAGUAGGGAAUCUUCCGCAAUGGACGAAAGUCUGACGGAGCAACGCCGCGUGAGUGAUGAAGGCUUUCGGGUCGUAAAACUCUGUUGUUAGGGAAGAACAAGUAUGAGAGUAACUGCUCGUACCUUGACGGUACCUAACCAGAAAGCCACGGCUAACUACGUGCCAGCAGCCGCAGUAA